rnacentral:tRNA from 1 species
GUACCUGUAGCUCAAUCGGUAGAGCAACUGCCUUCUAAGCAGUAGGUUGUAGGUUCGAGUCCUGCCAGGUACGCCA